UACGAAGGGGGGCUAGCGUUGCUCGGAAUGACUGGGCGUAAAGCGCACGUAGGCGGCUUUGUAAGUUAGAGGUGAAAGCCUGGAGCUCAACUCCAGAAUUGCCUUUAAGACUGCAUCGCUUGAAUCCAGGAGAGGUGAGUGGAAUUCCGAGUGUAGAGGUGAAAUUCGUAGAUAUUCGGAAGAACACCAGUGGCGAAGGCGGCUCACUGGACUGGUAUUGACGCUGAGGUGCGAAAGCGUGGGGAGCAAACAGG
rnacentral:rRNA from 1 species